AUUGAACGCUGGCGGCAGGCCUAACACAUGCAAGUCGAGCGAGCGGCGGACGGGGGAGUAAUGUAUGGGAGACUGCGUGAUGGAGGGGGAUAACUACUGGAAACGGUAGCUAAUACAGCAUACCAUCUGAUGUGCCCAGAUGGGAUUAGAUAGAAGGUGGGGGAACGGCUCACCUAGGCGCAGAUCCCUAGCUGGUCUGAGAGGAGGACCAGCCACACUGGAACUGAGACACGGUCCAGACUCCUCAGAGAGGCAGCAGUGGUGAAUAUUGCACAAUGGGCUCAAGCCUUAUGCAGCCAUGUCGCGUGUGUGAAGAAGGCCUUCGGGUUGUAAAGCACUUUCAGCGGGGAGGCGUUACCCGCAGAAGAAGCACCGGCUAACUCCGUGCCAGCAGCCGCGGUAAUAC
rnacentral:rRNA from 1 species